rnacentral:misc_RNA from 1 species
CUGCAGAUUAUUUUGGAUUGUUCAGUAAGAGUCUGAGUAACACCCAGCUAAAUGGAUUUUGACAUACAGAUUAUUUGUGUGGGCAAUCAAUAGUUGGAGCAUAACAUGUCUAAUUGGGUUGAGUUUGACAUUGCAGAUAUGGAAAAAUAGACUGGACAUGAUUUGGACUAUAUAAUUGAUUGUGUUUCUGACUAGAAAAGGAGCAAAAAAAUCAUAAAUGAUUCUUUUCCCUUUUCUUGGACGCAUGCAUGAUUUGUUUUAGAAGGAAUGUGGUUUCCCCCCUUUAUAUUAGUAGCUGCCCAACUAAUGGGUUUCUUUUAUCCGUACUGGCUUAUGUCUGAAAUGUUAUGUUUGGUACAUAUCUCAAAAUUGUUGUGCAGUUCUUCUAGGGGGAAAUUCUUACAGGAAUGUAUUUUCUUUUGUUUUAUUCUGUGCAGAGAACUUCCAUACCCU